GCACAUGCACCACUAAAAGAAGCUUCUUUCUGUGGAUGCUCUUAUUCCACUUUAGUUAUCACAUUGACCGUGUGCUAUAAGUAGGAGAUGGGUGGAAGGAUCAUCGCAUCUCGGAAGAACAAGGAAGUGGGGAUUACUAAAAACUAGAAAAAAAAUAUGAUGCCUUUUAAGGCGUUUUUCAUCCUUUUGGCUCUCCUCUGCAGUUUAAUCAUCCAACCAAGUAUGGCUACCAGGGAUCUUGCCCAUGAUACACAAACAAGUGAGCGUCAUCUUAUGUCGGCUUUCCUCAAGCCUUAUUUAUCUGUGUUUCUUAUGUCUUUCUUUUCCUCCAUUUUUCUGCCCAACCAAUUUAUUUUGUUUCAUUUUUUAGAGGCUCACUAGUUUAACACUAACAUGUGAAAACAAAUUCAUCGCAGCAGACAUGGUAUGGUUUUUCUAACCGGCAUAUGACAAGCUAUGACCCCAAAAAAUGAUACUUCACAUACCAGAAGGGACAAAAAUAUAACUUUGAGCGGUGUUGGCAUAGUAAUAAAGACUUACACAAUAACUGUUGCAUAGAUGAAGUUGAAAUUUUCUAUUGAUUUAUUGUGGGAGAUGUACGGUUAUUGAUUGCAGCAUGUGGCCUUGCUCAGUGUAAUCAGAACCCCCUCUUAAUCUUAAAAGUUUCUUUUCUUCAAUUGCAAUAGCCUCACUGAUUUCGACAUGCGGCCUUGCUUAAAGAAAUCAGAACACC
rnacentral:lncRNA from 1 species